CAGGAUGAACGCUAGCGGCAGGCCUAAUACAUGCAAGUCGAACGGUGAUAGCAAUAUCAUAGUGGCGCACGGGUGCGUAACACGUAUGCAACCUACCUAUUAUUGGGGGAUAGCCUUUGGAAACGGAGAUUAAUACCGCAUAAUACGAUUGACUGGCAUCGGUUGAUUGUUAAAGCUUCGGCGAUAAUAGAUGGGCAUGCGUCCAAUUAGUUAGUUGGUUAGGUAACGGCUGACCAAGACGAUGAUUGGUAGGGGAUCUGAGAGGAUAAUCCCCCACACUGGCACUGAGAUACGGGCCAGACUCCUACGGGAGGCAGCAGUAGGGAAUAUUGGGCAAUGGGCGGAAGCCUGACCCAGCCAUGCCGCGUGCAGGAAGAAGGCGUUACGCGUUGUAAACUGCUUUUUUAUAGGAAGAAGGAUCCCUUGCGAGGGAAGGUGACGGUACUAUAAGAAUAAGCACCGGCUAACUCCGUGCCAGCAGCCGCGGUAAUACGGAGGGUGCAAGCGUUGUCCGGAUUUAUUGGGUUUAAAGGGUGCGUAGGCGGUUUAUUAAGUCAGUGGUGAAAGACGGUCGCUCAACGAUUGCAGUGCCAUUGAUACUGGUAGACUUGAGUGAGAUUGAGGUAGCUGGAAUGGAUAGUGUAGCGGUG
rnacentral:rRNA from 1 species